AGAAUCAACGCUGGCGGCGUGCCUAACACAUGCAAGUCGCACGAGAAAGUGGAGCAAUCCAUGAGUACAGUGGCGCACGGGUGAGUAACACGUGAAUCAUCUACCUCCGAGUGGGGAAUAACUGAGAGAAAUCUUAGCUAAUACCGCAUAACACUUACGAGUCAAAGCAGCAAUGCGCUUGGAGAGGAGUUCGCGGCAGAUUAGUUAGUUGGCGGGGUAAUGGCCCACCAAGACGAUGAUCUGUA
rnacentral:rRNA from 1 species